UUGCGAUUCAUUGGGGAGUAGCCGCUUUUUACGCUAUGUAAAAAGGUGAUGAUCAACAUAAUUGUUCCACAGAACAUGGUCAUCAUAGCAAAGAACCAAAUAAGCUUAUCGAACAGCUUUUUUUGUUGGCAAGACCUUUGAU
rnacentral:sRNA from 2 species